rnacentral:lncRNA from 1 species
GGACAUGAGUUUGAGCAAGCUCUGGGAGAUAGAGAAGGAUAGGGAAGCCUGGCGUACUGCAGUCAAUGGGAUCACAAAGAGUCAGACAUGACUGAGCAACAACAUUGAAUGUGUUACAAUAUUAUUUCUAUUUUAUGUUUUGUUUUUUAGGGGGCCAGGAGGCAUGUGGGAUCUUAGCUGUCCGCCCAGGAAUCAAAUAGGCAUCUUCUGCAUUGACAGGUAGAUUCUUUACCAGAGUGCCACGAGGGAAGUCCCUAAAAAAGCUGCUUUUAUCCACAGGCCAGUGAUGUUCCACUGACCUCUGGGCUUUAGACAGAGAAACUAGGAGAGAGGAAGAAAGUGAGAGCGCAAAGCAGAAAAAAGUAAAUAAAUAAGUUUCUGACCUUUCAUCUUAAGGUUUUCCCACAGCAGUGCUGCCUUCCUCACUUCUCGCCCACAAUCUCCACUUCAGGAGUAAAGAAAGCGCCCAGGAAAGUACGAGGAGGCUGAAUCUCGACCUUCCACAGUCAGAGAACAGUUAACUCCAGGCUUCUCAUCCUUACUGCAGCUUCAAAAUGCCGGCCUCUGAGAAUAUAUCCUGUCUAGCUGACUCAUUAGAGAAGAACCUGAUGCUGGGAAAGAUUGAAGGCCGGAGGAGAAGAGGACAACAGAGGAUGAGAUGGCUGGAUGGCAUCACGGACUCAGCGGACAAAGGUUUGAGCAAGCUCUGGGAGAUGGUGAAGGACAGGGAAGCCUGGUGUGCUGUAGUCCAUGAAGCUGCAAAGAGUCGGACACGACUGAGUGACUGAACAAGAUCAACAACCUGAAGAUCACUCACUUAAGUGAUUAAGUUUACUUGCUUCCUUGAGACCUAGGUAAUAGUGUUGUAGACUCAAGAGGCACCAGCCUCUCAUGUUGGAACCAAACAGGAAAAAAAAUCAGGUACAAUUAAGGAAUUGAAAAUGGCCUACAUGUUUCAGAAACUAAUUCAGUGGCUUCUACUUUGGUUUCUCCCAAGAGAAUAGGAAAGGAUGACUCCCCUACUUUGGGCUCCAUCCAUUUCUCAACAAGCUGCCCUACCAUCUCCACCUCCUCCUACUCUUACAUUUACAGUCACUCCGUUCUGCACCUUCUGAAGAGCAAAUGUGCCAGUGAUCACUCCUCACAAUAAUCCUAGGUGAGAACCUAGGAAACGAUCAAAGACAAGCUAUUGAAAAAAAGCAUUUGGCCCUUGUGCCUUGAGCGUAAAAGCAACUAGUCAAUAAAAGAAGGCACAGGUGGAAAGAAUGUGGAUUC